AUUGAACGCUGGCGGCAUGCCUUACACAUGCAAGUCGAACGGUAACAGGUCUUCGGAUGCUGACGAGUGGCGAACGGGUGAGUAAUACAUCGGAACGUGCCCGAUCGUGGGGGAUAACGAAGCGAAAGCUUUGCUAAUACCGCAUAAGAUCUACGGAUGAAAGCAGGGGACCGCAAGGCCUUGCGCGAACGGAGCGGCCGAUGGCAGAUUAGGGAGUUGGUGGGAUAAAAGCUUACCAAGCCGACGAUCUGUAGCUGGUCUGAGAGGACGACCAGCCACACUGGGACUGAGACACGGCCCAGACUCCUACGGGAGGCAGCAGUGGGGAAUUUUGGACAAUGGGCGCAAGCCUGAUCCAGCAAUGCCGCGUGCAGGAUGAAGGCCUUCGGGUUGUAAACCGCUUUUGUACGGAACGAAAAGCCCUGGGUUAAUACCCUGGGGUCAUGACGGUACCGUAAGAAUAAGCACCGGCUAACUACGUGCCAGCCGCCGCAGUAACAC
rnacentral:rRNA from 1 species